rnacentral:rRNA from 1 species
UACGUAGGGGGCAAGCGUUGUCCGGAAUCAUUGGGCGUAAAGAGCGUGUAGGCGGUUCGGUAAGUCGGCUGUGAAAGUCCAGGGCUCAACCCUGGGAUGCCGGUCGAUACUGCCGGACUAGAGUUCGGAAGAGGCGAGUGGAAUUCCCGGUGUAGCGGUGAAAUGCGCAGAUAUCAGGAGGAACACCAAUAGCGAAGGCAGCUCGCUGGGACGGUACUGACGCUAAGGCGCGAAAGCGUGGGGAGCGAACAGG